rnacentral:rRNA from 1 species
AGACCCGAAACCCGGUGAUCUAGCCAUGGGCAGGUUGAAGGUUGGGUAACACUAACUGGAGGACCGAACCGACUAAUGUUGAAAAAUUAGCGGAUGACCUGUGGCUGGGGGUGAAAGGCCAAUCAAACCGGGAGAUAGCUGGUUCUCCCCGAAAGCUAUUUAGGUAGCGCCUCGUGAAUUCAUCUCCGGGGGUAGAGCACUGUUUCGGCUAGGGGGCCAUCCCGGCUUACCAACCCGAUGCAAACUGCGAAUACCGGAGAAUGUUAUCACGGGAGACACACGGCGGGUGCUAACGUCCGUCGUGAAGAGGGAAACAACCCAGACCGCCAGCUAAGGUCCCAAAGUCAUGGUUAAGUGGGAAACGAUGUGGGAAGGCCCAGACAGCCAGGAUGUUGGCUUAGAAGCAGCCAUCAUUUAAAGAAAGCGUAAUAGCUCACUGGUCGAGUCGGCCUGCGCGGAAGAUGUAACGGGGCUAAACCAUGCACCGAAGCUGCGGCAGCGACACUCAGGUGUUGUUGGGUAGGGGAGCGUUCUGUAAGCCUGUGAAGGUGUGUCGUGAGGCAUGCUGGAGGUAUCAGAAGUGCGAAUGCUGACAUAAGUAACGAUAAAGCGGGUGAAAAGCCCGCUCGCCGGAAGACCAAGGGUUCCUGUCCAACGUUAAUCGGGGCAGGGUGAGUCGACCCCUAAGGCGAGGCCGAAAGGCGUAGUCGAUGGGAAACGGGUUAAUAUUCCCGUACUUGGUGUUACUGCGAAGGGGGGACGGAGAAGGCUAUGUUGGCCGGGCGACGGUUGUCCCGGUUUAAGCGUGUAGGUGUGUGUUCCAGGUAAAUCCGGUUCACUUUAACACUGAGGCGUGAUGACGAGGCACUACGGUGCUGAAGCAACAAAUGCCCUGCUUCCAGGAAAAGCCUCUAAGCAUCAGGUAACAUCAAAUCGUACCCCAAACCGACACAGGUGGUCAGGUAGAGAAUACCAAGGCGCUUGAGAGAACUCGGGUGAAGGAACUAGGCAAAAUGGUGCCGUAACUUCGGGAGAAGGCACGCUGACAUGUAGGUGAAGUGAUUUACUCAUGGAGCUGAAGUCAGUCGAAGAUACCAGCUGGCUGCAACUGUUUAUUAAAAACACAGCACUGUGCAAACACGAAAGUGGACGUAUACGGUGUGACGCCUGCCCGGUGCCGGAAGGUUAAUUGAUGGGGUCAGCGCAAGCGAAGCUCCUGAUCGAAGCCCCGGUAAACGGCGGCCGUAACUAUAACGGUCCUAAGGUAGCGAAAUUCCUUGUCGGGUAAGUUCCGACCUGCACGAAUGGCGUAAUGAUGGCCAGGCUGUCUCCACCCGAGACUCAGUGAAAUUGAACUCGCUGUGAAGAUGCAGUGUACCCGCGGCAAGACGGAAAGACCCCGUGAACCUUUACUAUAGCUUGACACUGAACAUUGAGCCUUGAUGUGUAGGAUAGGUGGGAGGCUUUGAAGCGUGGACGCCAGUCUGCGUGGAGCCGACCUUGAAAUACCACCCUUUAAUGUUUGAUGUUCUAACGUGGAUCCGU